AUCUAUAUAAUAUAAUAAAGUAUAUUUGACUUCCAAUCAUAAAGUCUAUAAUAAUAGUGUAGAUA
rnacentral:tRNA from 1 species